UCUCUCACUUUUUCUAUCUUCAGGCUCUUCAAGUUGCACAACAACAACAACAACAACAACAACAACAACAACAACAACAACAACAACAACAACAACAACAACAACAACAACAACAACAACAACAACAACAACAACAACAACAACAACAACAACAACAACAACAACAACAACAACAAGGGAGGGAAGUCCCCUAGGGCCCCUGAGGCAGAGGCAGACACACAGGUCCCGGCAGCACUGGCCCUAAUGAGUCCACAGCUGGUCACGGUGCAGCAGAUGCAGCAGUUGCUUCAGCAGCAGGUCCUGAACCCCCAACAGCUGCAGGCCCUGCUCCAACAGCAA